rnacentral:rRNA from 1 species
UAGGGAAUCUUCCGCAAUGGACGCAAGUCUGACGGAGCAACGCCGCGUGAGUGAAGAAGGAUUUCAGUUCGUAAAACUCUGUUGUUAGAGAAGAACAGCGCAUAGAGUAACUGUUAUGCGUGUGACGGUAUCUAACCAGAAAGCCACGGCUAACUACGUGCCAGCAGCCGCGGUAAUACGUAGGUGGCAAGCGUUGUCCGGAUUUAUUGGGCGUAAAGCGAGCGCAGGCGGUCAAUUAAGUCUGAUGUGAAAGCCCCCGGCUCAACCGGGGAGGGUCAUUGGAAACUGGUUGACUUGAGUGCAGAAGAGGAGAGUGGAAUUCCAUGUGUAUCGGUGACAUGCGUAGAUAUAUGGAUGAACACCAGUGGCUAUGGCGACUCUCUGGUCUGUAACUGACGCUGAGGUUCGAAAGCGUGGGUAGCAAACAGG